GCCUCAGAUGCCCAGCUCAGUAAUGCACCGUAUGGGUCAGAGGUCAGGAGCAAGGCCUGGAGUCAGAGAUGGAAGCGCAAAUGCUGCAACAAAUUUUCCCUAAGGACCCAGCUUUCCAGCUGAGAUCAUUUAGUCCAGGUAAAAGUGUACCAAAGUGAAGCUAUCUCCUGUGAGAUGCUCCAGGAAGGAGAAUGAAAAGGAAACGUGAUUCAAAGGCUGGAAUCUCAUACAAAAUAAACCAAGAUCUGCCUUAUGGAGUUCUGUUUUUGUCUUUGACCCGAAGAUCUGAUCUCCCCUCC